rnacentral:rRNA from 1 species
AUGUUAGCCGAAGGCUUUGGGAUAAGCUGCCGGAGCGGGUAAGAGCCCCGUAGGCGAAAAUAUCGCUAACCUCAAACGGAUCCUGAGUACGGCGGGACACGCGAAAUGCCGUCGGAAACCGGGAGGACCAUCUCCCAAGGCUAAAUACUUCCUAGUGACCGAUAGUGAACCAGUACCGUGAGGGAAANNNNNNNNNNNNNNNNNNNNNNNNNAGCCCAAACCAGGAUGCUUGCAUUCUGGGGUUGUAGGACGUUUAUUAGCGAACAUGAAUGUUAGCCGAAGGCUUUGGGAUAAGCCGCCAAAGCGGGUAAGAGCCCCGUAGGCGAAAACAGUCAAGUUCGUAAACGGAUCCUGAGUACGACGGGACACGCGAAAUGCCGUCGGAAACCGGGAGGACCAUCUCCCAAGGCUAAAUACUUCCUAGUGACCGAUAGUGAACCAGUACCGUGAGGGAAAGGUGAAAAGCACCCCGGAAGGGGAGUGAAAGAGAUCCUGAAACCGUGUGCUUACAAGGAGUUAGAGCCCGUUUAUGGGUGAUAGCGUGCCUUUUGCAGAAUGAACCGGCGAGUUGCGCUGGCUGGCGAGGUUAAGUCUGAAAAGACGGAGCCGCAGCGAAAGCGAGUCUGAAAUGGGCGUUGAGUCAGACGGCGCAGACCCGAAACCAGGUGAUCUACCCAUGUCCAGGUUGAAGGUGCGGUAAAACGCACUGGAGGACCGAACCCACGUACGUUGAAAAGUGCGGGGAUGAGAUGUGGGUAGCGGAGAAAUUCCAAACGAACUUGGAGAUAGCUGGUUCUCUCCGAAAUAGCUUUAGGGCUAGCGUCAAGGAAGCAAUGAUGGAGGUAGAGCACUGUUUGGACGAGGGGCCCGUCUUGGGUUACCGAAUCCAGAUAAACUCCGAAUGCCAUUGAUUGCCCCUUGGCAGUCAGACGGUGAGUGAUAAGAUCCAUCGUCGAAAGGGAAACAGCCCAGACCACCAGCUAAGGCCCCUAAAUGUAUGUUAAGUGGAAAAGGAGGUGGGGUUGCUUAGACAACUAGGAUGUUGGCUUAGAAGCAGCCAUCAUUGAAAGAGUGCGUAAUAGCUCACUAGUCGAGUGACCCUGCGCCGAAAAUGUACCGGGGCUAAACAUACUGCCGAAGCUGUGGAAUGCACCAUAAGGUGCGUUGGUAGGAGAGCGUUCUAAGGGCGACGAAGGUCGACUGAGAAGACGGCUGGAGCGCUUAGAAGUGAGAAUGCCGGUAUGAGUAGCGAAAGACAGGUGAGAAUCCUGUCCACCGUAAGACGAAGGUUUCCUGGGGAAGGCUCGUCCGCCCAGGGUUAGUCGGGACCUAAGCUGAGGCCGAAAGGCGUAAGCGAUGGCCAACAGGUUGAUAUUCCUGUACCUGUUAUCUUCAUUUGAGUGAUGGAGGGACGCAGGAGGCAAAAGAAAGCAGACGAACGGAAAGGUCUGUCCAAGCAGUGAGUCGGAGAAAGAGUGAAAGGCUUUUUCUUGUCAACGACCAGCUGUGACGGGGAGGGAAAUUUAAGUACCGAAGUUCUGGCGUCACACUGCCAAGAAAAACUUCUAGCAAGAAGGUAAUGGCCCGUACCGCAAACCGACACAGGUCGUCGAGGAGAGUAUCCUCAGGUGAGCGAGCGAACUCUCGUUAAGGAACUCGGCAAAAUGACCCCGUAACUUCGGGAGAAGGGGUGCUGCUCUAACGAGCAGCCGCAGUGAAUAGGCCCAAGCGACUGUUUAUCAAAAACACAGGUCUCUGCAAAAUCGUAAGAUGACGUAUAGGGGCUGACGCCUGCCCGGUGCUGGAAGGUUAAGAGGAGUGCUUAGCGUAAGCGAAGGUACGAAUUGAAGCCCCAGUAAACGGCGGCCGUAACUAUAACGGUCCUAAGGUAGCGAAAUUCCUUGUCGGGUAAGUUCCGACCCGCACGAAAGGCGCAACGAUUUGGGCACUGUCUCAACGAGAGACUCGGUGAAAUUUUAGUACCUGUGAAAAUGCAGGUUACCCGCGACAGGACGGAAAGACCCCAUGGAGCUUUACUGUAAUUUGAUAUUGGGUGUCUGUGAUGCAUGUACAGCAUAGGUAGGAGCCGUAGAAUUCGGGACGCGAGUCUCGAAGGAGGCAUCCGUGGGAUACUACCCUUGCGUUAUGGCCACUCUAACCCGCGCCACUGAUCGUGGCGGGAGACAGUGUCAGAUGGGCAGUUUGACUGGGGCGGUCGCCUCCUAAAAAGUAACGGAGGCGCCCCAAGGUUCCCUCAGAAUGGUUGGAAAUCAUUCAAAGAGUGUAAAGGCAGAAGGGAGCUUGACUGCGAGAG